GAUGAACGCUAGCGGCAGGCCUAAUACAUGCAAGUCGAGGGAGAAUGUUGGAUUCGUCUGACAUGAAACCGGCGCACGGGUGCGUAACACGUAUGCAACCUACCUUUAACUGGGGUAUAGCUCAGAGAAAUCUGAAUUAAUCCCCCAUAAGACUACGACAUGGCAUCAUGAUGUAGUUAAAGCUCCGGCGGUUAAGGAUGGGCAUGCGGUACAUUAGCUAGUUGGUGAGGUAAUGGCUCACCAAGGCUACGAUGUAUAGGGGGUCUGAGAGGAUGAUCCCCCACACUGGUACUGAGACACGGACCAGACUCCUACGGGAGGCAGCAGUAGGGAAUAUUGGUCAAUGGACGCAAGUCUGAGCCAGCCAUGCCGCGUGAAGGAUGAAGGCCCUAUGGGUCGUAAACUUCUUUUAUUAGGGAAGAAAAAACGGGAUGCGUCCUGUACUGACGGUACUUAAUGAAUAAGGAUCGGCUAACUUCGUGCCAGCAGCCGCCGUAA
rnacentral:rRNA from 1 species